rnacentral:rRNA from 1 species
GAUGAACGCUGGCGGUAUGCUUAACACAUGCAAGUCGAACGGACUCUUCGGAGUUAGUGGCGGACGGGUGAGUAACGCGUGAGAAUCUGGCUUUGGGUUCGGGACAACCACUGGAAACGGUGGCUAAUACCGGAUGUGCCGAGAGGUAAAAGAGAAAUUGCCUGAAGAUGAGCUCGCGUCUGAUUAGCUAGUUGGUGAGGUAAAGGCUCACCAAGGCAGCGAUCAGUAGCUGGUCUGAGAGGAUGACCAGCCACACUGGGACUGAGACACGGCCCAGACUCCUACGGGAGGCAGCAGGGGGGAAUUGUCCGCAAUGGGCGUAAGCCUGACGGAGCAAUACCGCGUGAGGGAAGAAGGCUCUUGGGUUGUAAACCUCUUUUCUUAGGGAAGAACAAAAUGACGGUACCUAAGGAAUCAGCAUCGGCUAACUCCGUG